CAGCAAACAUGACUCAAAGCCUAGAAGGACA
rnacentral:piRNA from 1 species